GGGCCCUUGGCACAGUUGGUAGCGCGCAUGCUUCGCACCGUAGAUUGCAUGAGGUCGUGGGUUCGACUCCCACAGAGUCCA
rfam:Pisolithus microcarpus 441 unplaced genomic scaffold scaffold_37, whole genome shotgun sequence.